rnacentral:lncRNA from 1 species
GGAGACGCGGGCAGCCAGCGAUGGCCGCGGAGGGGGCGAACUGGGUUCCGGCCCUCGGAGGCUGACGGAAGGCGGUGGCUGAGGAGCGGCGCCUCUGGUUGAGCGCUCGCCGUGUGUCCCGCACCUGUCUGUCCUGCCGCCGCCCGGUAAGGUAGGAAAGGUCAGCGCGCCGGGGUUACGGGUACAGAACCUGGGUUCGAAUCCCGGCCCCGACGUUUCCGCACUACGUGCCGUUGGGCAGGAGCUGACGUCACCUUGCCGGGCCUCAGUUUCCUUCUCUGGUGCGCUGAGGAGGCGGGGCAUGGAACGUGGUCAGCGCUUCAUCGGUGCUGGCUCUUUGAGCAAGCCAGUUCCCGAAGGCUCAGCAUCUCAUUCAUUCAUUAAAAUGUCAUUGAGCGCCUACUGUGUGUCAAUCACUGUAUGGGCAGUGAGCAGAAAAAAAAUACCUGGUCUUAUUGGGCUAACAUUCUAAACCAGCGCUGGCCUAGAAUGCCCUAGUAGAAAUACAUGCAAGCUACAUGUUUAAUUUUUUUUUAUGUAAAGAUGGGCUCUGGUUCUGUUGCCCAGGCUGGUCUCGAACUCCUGGACUCAAGCGAUUCUCCUGCCUCCGCCUCCCAAAGAGCUGGGAUUACAGGCAUGCCUGCACUCUGCCUAAUUUUUUCUUUUUUUUUUUUAUGAUCUGAAAAUAAUAGUCUUUUUAUUUUUAUUUAUUUAUUUAUUUAUUUGAGACGGAGACUCGCUCUGUCGCCAGGCUGGAGUGCAGUGGCGUGAUCUCCGCUCACUGCAACCUCCGCUUCCCAGGUUCAAGCGAUUCUCCUGCCUCAGCCUCCUAAGUAGUUGGGCCUACAGGCGCUGCGCCACCACAACCAGCUAAUUUUUGUAUUUUUAGUAGAGACGGGGUUUCACCGUGUUGGCCAUGAUGAUCUGUAUCUCUUGACCUCGUGAUCUGCCCGCCUCAGCCUCCCAAAGUGCUGGGAUUACAGGCUUGAGCCACUGCGCCUGGCCUACAAUUUUGUUUUUCUUUUUUUUUUUUUUUUUUUGAGACAGGAUCUCACUCUGUCACCCAAUUUGGAGUGCGGUGGUAUGAUCACAGCUAACUGCAGCCUCAACUUCCCCAGCUCAGGCAAUCAAUCCUCCGGCUUCAGAUUCCUGAGUAGCUUAGACUACAGGAUGUGCCACUAUGCCUGGCUAAUGUUUUAUUUUUUUGUAGCGAUGAGGUCUUGCUGUAUUGCCUAGGCUGGUCUCAAACUUCUAGACUUAAGUGAUCCUCCUGCUUUGGCCUCCCAAAGUGUUGGGAUUACAGGCGGGAGCCACGGUGCCCAGCCUGUUUCUUUUUUUAAUCAUAUUUUCUUAGAAGUUUUUUUUUUUUUUUUUUUUUUUUUUGGAGACAGGGUCUCACUCUGCUGUGCAGGCUGGAAUGCAGUGGUGUGAUCUCAGCUCACUGCAACCUCUGCCUCCCUAUUCAAGUGAUUCUCGUGCCUCAGCCUCCCAAGUAGCUGGGAUCACAGGCGUGCAACAUCACACCCAGCUAAUUCUUGUGGUUUUAGUAGAGAUGGGGUUUUGCCAUGUUGGCCAGGCUGGUCUCAAACUCCUGGCCUCAAGUGAUCCACCCACCUCGGCCUCCCAAAGUGCUGGGAUUACAGGCAUGAGCCACCACCCGGCCUAGGAAAGCUUUUUAGAGAUUGGGUCUCACUGUGUUGCCCAGGCUGGAGUGCAGUGGCUGUUCACAGGUGCAAUCAUCCCACAGGUUUAACUCCUGACCUCAAGCAGUCCUUCUGCCUCAGGCUCCCAAGUAGCUGGGAUUAUAGGCACGUGCCACCACACCUAGCUCAAUUAAAUGUUAAAUUUAACAUUUAAUUGUUAAAUUUUAUAGUAGCCAGCAUUCUGGGUCAUCACGGUGCAAUAGAAGUAUAAACAAAGCAGGCCAGGCACAGUAGGUCACGCCUGUAAUCCCAGCACUUUGGGAGGCCGAGGCGGGCAGAUCACCAGGUCAGUAGUUCGAGACCAGCCUGGCCAACAUGUUGAAACCCCAGUCUCUACUAAAAAUACAAAAAUUAGCUGGACGUGGUGGCAGGAGCCUGUAAUCCCAGCUACUCGGGAGGCUGAGGCAGGAGAAUCGCUUGAAACUGGAAAGUGGAGGUUGCAGUGAGCCGAGAUCCCGCCACUGCACUCCAGCCUAGGUGAAAGAGGGAAAUUACAUCUCAAAAAAACAGUAUAAGCAAGCCACAGAUUUGUCAGCGAGGUAUGUAAUUUAAAUUGGUACAUUGUUAGCCAUGUUUAAAAAUAAGUAAAAAGAAACGGGUGAUGUUAGUUGUAAUGUGUUUUAUUUAACUCAGUAGGUUGAAUAUGUUAUUAUUUAAACAUGUAGUCAAUAUUUUAAAAUACAGGAUGUUUUGCAUCUGUUAUCUUUCCAAAAUAGAAGAUACUUUGUGUCCUUUUUCUUUCCUGCAUGCUUUUUUUUUCUUAUUUUUUUGAGACAGAGUCUCACUCUGUUGCCAAGGCUGGAGUGCAGUGGCGGGAUCUCGGCUAACUGCAACCUCCCCAUCCCGGGUUCAAGCGAUUCUCCUGCCUCAGCCUCCCGAGUAGCUGCGAUUACAGACAUUUGCCACCAUGCCCGGGUAAUUUUUUGUGUUUUUAGUAGAGACAGAGUUUCACCAUGUUGCCCAGGCUGGCCUCGAACUCCUUACCUUAAGUGAUCCACCCGCCCUGGCCUCCCAUAGUGCUGGGAUUACAGGCGUGAGCCACCGCGCCUGGCCCCUGCCUGCUUUUGAAAUCUAGUAUGUAUCUUAUACUCCACAGCACAGCACAGCACCGCACAUCUCCAGUCGGACUGGCUACAUUUCAAGGGCUCAACCAUCACGCGUUACCAGUGGCUACUGCAUCAGACUGUGCAGUGCUAGAUGGGGAGUCAGAAGAGAAACCAAGUGAUUUCCAUGUCAAGUGGUGAACAGGCUAAGAAGAAAAACAGAGUCUCGCUGCAUCCCCCAGGCUGGAGUACAGUGGUAUGAUCUUGGCUCACUGCAACCUCUGCCUCCUAGGUUCAAGUGAUUCUCCUGCCUCAGUCUCCCGAGUAGCUGGGAUUACAGGCGCCCACCACCAUGCCCGGCUAAUUUUUGUAUUUUUAGUAGAGAUGGGGUUUCACUAUGUUGGCCAGGCUGGUCUCAAACUCCUGACCUCAGGUGAUCUGCCUGACUUGGCCUCCCAAAGUGCUGGGAUUACAGGCAUGAGCCACCUUGCCUGGCCUCUUCCUAAUGAUUUUUUAAAGUACAUCUUGUUUUCUCUGUCUUACUUUAUCAUAAAAAUAUAUGAUACAAAUAAAAUACAGAAUAUGUGU